UAAACUCUCUGAAUAUUUCACGAAACAAACUUUGGUUUGAUCCCAGAAAGUUUUGAAAAAUCCAAGUUCUAUUGAUUUGUCUGUAAACCAGUUGUCAGGAAGAGUUUAAUCUGUUCUUUUGACAAUGGGCGGAGACAGAGCAUUUAUUGGGAACCAGGAAUUCUGUGACGAUGAAACUUCCAAAACCAUUAUAUUCACGGAUAAAAGUUUGCUUGGGAAGACAAGGUCAAGAAAAGUUUGGAGAUGAGAUGUUCAUGUUCUCAAUAAUAGCAUCUGUGUUGGUUCUUGUUUUAAUUGGUAUCCUACUAGUCCGAAACUUCAAGUGUGCUCAAGAUGAGAUGAAAAAUGACUUGAAAGUUAAGAAGGAGAUCCGAAAUGGAAAAUUACUUCAUUCCACCAUUUAAAUAUUGAUGCAGAUGAAAUGUGUAAUCUGGAAGAAGACAAUUUGAUUGGGAGUGGGGACACAGGAAAAGGGAAUCGCUUGGAUUAGAAGAGAAACUGUGGUACAGUAGCUGUAAAGCAACCAUGGAAGGGAGAUGGUCUGAAGUUUUUUGCGGCAGAAAAGGAGAUUUUGAGGAAAAUCAGGCAUAGGAAUAUCCUGAAGCUUUAUGCUAGUUUACUCAAAGGAGGAUUGAGUUUUCUGGUGUUCAAGUACAUGCCAAAUGGUAACUUAUUUCAAGCACUUCACAGACGGAUCAAAGAUUGGUAUCAGAGGUACAAGAUUGCUCUGGGAGACGCAAAAGGAAUUGCAUAUCUGCACGAUUCAUAGAGAUAUCAAGUCGAGCGACAUUUUACUUGAGAUGGCAUACACGAUUAAAGUCACUGAAAAGAGUGAUGUAUAUAGUUUUGGUGUUGUACUACUAAAGCCCAUCGACAAGGAAUAUGGAGAAGGGGGAUACAUUGUCUACUGGGUUUAACUCAUGUCCAUGACCGUGAAAAUGUCCUCAAGGUUCUCGGUGAGGAAAUGGCUUCCGAUUCUGUCCAAGAAGACAUGAUCAAAGUCUUGAAGAUUGCUGACCUUUGCACGACGAAGCUGGUAUUGAAGGUGCUCGUUGAUGCUGAUUCUUGUGCUUACAGGUCUCCCGAUAACAGUUUUGACAAAAAUGACAAGCUUUUCUCCAGUAAUUUCCCUUUUUUAGCAGCGGUAUAUCUCCAGGUCUUCUUCAACUGUGGCCAAAUUUGGAGAAAAUAUAUUUGUAGUGCUAGAUGAUGCUGGUUUAUGAAAAGCAUUUUGAUGUUGUCUAAUUGAGCGCUUGGAGUUGUUAUUUUGUGAUCUAAUCUAUAGGUAUUUGGAAGCUUAAAUAAUUUUUAAUUAUCAUUUGCUCUAACUUUUGCUUGUUUUCGGUGUGAAUUUCAUCCAUCUCUCUGCUGGACACAGUUAUGUUACCACAUGAACAUGAUUAUUGCAUUCACAAGAUCUACUCUUGAAUUGGAGAACAGGUAAGAUCUGUAAGCCCGAGACUGCUUCAAACACAAUUUAGCUGUAAAAGGACCAUAUAUUGUUAACCAGCCCAGCAAGCAACUCCAACAACAUAAACAAGCUUUGGUUCUGCACUUGUGCUGCCAUUUUUUUUGUUUUCGGUUCUAUGGACAGAGGAUUGCUCGCGGCAUCACAAGAAGAUUAUCCAAUUAUAUACUACACAGUGGAAUCUAAGAUUUGAAUCUCUUCCAGCAUCGGGCAAGCUGGCCCCUCACGUUAUUGUGCCACCAACAUACUGUGUCCCAGCCUCUCAAACACGUGAAUUUUGACUGCGCGGAGCAGUCAUAUGGAAUGAAGUGGGGAUGACACUGACUAUUCUUGGGGGCUAAUUGUCCAAUUACGGGCCUAAUGCAUGACUGGACUGCAUUGGAUACGCAAGAACGUUCCUUGUUACUCUUGUAAGAGUAGGUUCAUAUCCACUGAGCACGGUUGGCUUCCUUGAUUUAGGUUUUUUGAGAGAUUCCAUGCGUGGGGUCCGUAGGACUUUUGGCACCUUGGGAAAUUUCCCACGUAAAUACGCCUAUGACUGAGUCAUCCUUGGAGAUGGGCAAGCUUGAUGGAUGAGGGUCGAGAUUUAAGAAGCUUGUUCGCAAUUCACAAGGGACACAAGGGAUGCUUCAGAUUGAAAUGAGUUUGAGCUUAAAGAUUCUCGGUGAAGAGCUUCUGGGUGUUUGAGACUGAACUGAGUUUGUUUAGCUACCAAGAAAAAUGUCUAAAAUCGCAAUCGUCUCGUGUCUCUCUUGUUGUAUAAUGCCGCAAUUUAGACCAUUUGGUUUGCUAAAUUGGUUGUUCUGUUUGCUGUACAUUCUACGGGAAUCCAUUGAUAAUUCUUGUAUAGGGCAUUUGAGAACACCUAUAUCGGGAUUGCAUUAGUUGGGAUUGUAGAUAGUGGAUUAAAUAUAUAUAUUUUAUGAUUAUGGUUUGGUUAUAUACAA